AUCGCACUAUAAGCCACUGAUGUGGGUGCACUUACUUCCCUGGAGCGGGGCAGACCUGCCCUUCCAGCCUCCUAACUUCAUUUCAGUGACUUCCUGCCUCGCAGCUAACCUCAUCCCGACAGGAAAACUGGAAGGAAGAAUUUCACAAACUCCUCCAAACAAGUUACUUGAAGUGACACCCCCACCCCCUUCUCAACUUUGCUGUCAGCUCCAAGUCCCGCGGGUUACGCCGCUGUGUUGUUUGGUAAAAACCGAAAGUGCAGAAAAGCCUAUUCUUUAUCUUCGAACCGAAAAAAAGAUCAGUGUGCCCAUUUGGGUGAGCGUCACGUUCCCGUGGAUCCAGAUUUAGGAGUACUAGCAUCUUCCAGCUUUAAUAUUUUUCGUGAUUUAAAACAGUCACACGACCGGGAUUUAUGCAUUGCUUUUGGAUACAUUUUGGAAUAAAUCUGUGGACCGACUCCGAACUCGUGAUUUUAAGGAUUACUUUUUCAUGUAUUGGAAAAAUGAAAAUCUGUCCCCUCUACCUGAGGGAAGUAAGCUUUUGUCAGACGGGAUUCCAGCGAAACAGGUGAUUUCUCAAGAGACUCAGAACAGGACAGGAGCAUCCCGCUGCUUCGAAAGCAAGCGUUCACAUAUAAUGUCUCAUUCUGACAGUGAAUCUCAUAGGUCCAACAUGGAUAAAGACGAUACUCGGUCUUCCCCAAGUCCUCCUUCCACUCCUUCUAUCUGUUCUCCGCCUUCUGCUUCCUCAUCCAUCCCGUCAGCCGGGAAGAACCUGUGCGCCAGUUGUGGACUGGAGAUCCUUGAUCGUUACCUGCUAAAGGUGAAUAAUUUAAUCUGGCACGUCAGAUGUUUGGAGUGCUCAGUGUGUAGGACUUCACUACGUCAGCACAGCAGCUGUUACAUCAAAAACAAAGAAAUCUUCUGUAAAAUGGAUUAUUUCAGUCGAUUUGGUACCAAGUGUGCCCGAUGUGGCAGACAGAUUUACGCCAGCGACUGGGUGAGAAGAGCCAGGGGAAAUGCCUAUCACUUAGCCUGCUUUGCCUGUUUUUCCUGCAAAAGACAGCUGUCCACAGGAGAGGAGUUUGGUCUGGUGGAGGAAAAGGUGCUUUGCCGAAUUCACUAUGACACUAUGGUGGAAAACCUAAAGCGUGCAGCAGAAAGUGGAAGUGGGAUAACUUUAGAAGGAGCCCUUCCCUCGGAGCAAGACAGCCAACCAAAGCCAGCCAAGAGAGCACGCACUUCCUUUACGGCAGAGCAGCUUCAGGUGAUGCAGGCACAGUUUGCACAAGACAAUAAUCCUGAUGCACAAACGCUGCAGAAACUAGCAGAUAUGACAGGUCUCAGCAGAAGGGUGAUACAGGUGUGGUUUCAAAACUGCAGAGCAAGACACAAAAAGCACACUCCCCAACACAGUGGACCUUCACAAGGCCCUCCACAGUCUAGAAUGCCUCCUUCACUCCCAGAGGACAUUCAUUACUCGCCAUUCAGCAGUCCAGAGAGAGCCCGCAUGGUUGCUCUGCACGGAUAUAUUGAAAGCCAUCCUUUCUCAGUUCUCACCGCGCAGAGUCUGCCCCACCAAGCCAUGGCUCUGCCUCAGCUCCCCUUGAGCCGCUAGCCGAGCGGCGGCGCUGGCCGGGUUCAACCUUACCACUUGGACGAGGAGGCUCCUCUUUCAAAACGGCGACGCGCCUGUUUUAACGCCGGUCGCAAGGUUUUUUGGCGACACCGACAGGAGCUUUAACACAACCGCUAUCCUCCCAUCAUAAGACACCAAAACUGGAUUUACCUGCCUGAAUAUGCAAAGUGUGAAUCUCCUCGAAAACAGAGAAGAGCUCCGUGUCAAAGCGAAAACAAACAAACAAAAAAGCCGCCAAACGGAUGGACCGGCCGCCGACGGCAAUGACGUCAAAGAUACGAGGUGACUACCGCCCUCCCCAGAGAGCCGACCUUCAAACGUAACAACGGGCCGCGAAUGAACUGUGGAAUAUUGUUUUUUUUUCUUGACUCCUUUAAAGAACCAGAGCAUGUACCAAAGCCACUGUGCUUUGCCUUUUUUCCAGCAGAGUACUUAUUUCUGUACUUACACAUUUUACUGCCGUCUGACUAACAGUUCCAGUGGUCCUCCCGAGAGUAGCAGCGGGACGCCUACGUUUUAUAGUCUAAGAUAGCAGCAGCAGUCUUUGACUAGAACUUAACAUUACAGAGAUAUCAAUAAGAGAAGGAACCCUUUUGAAACAUCACAAUUGUUACCUCGUUGAGCUUUCUCAAAACAAACAAACUUUACAUUGUUUCCCUCUGGAAAAACUGAUCAAUAAGAAGAGAACCAGUUAGAUGUGAAGAUUAUUACAGUUAUAUGUACAGAGAUGGUAAAGCAUCAUGAUUGCAGUUGUUAGCAAUGUUGCCUUACUGCUGCAAACAACCAAAGACAAAUUCUGACAGUCUCAGUGACAUUUGCAGUUCUACCAGGGUGUGUGAAUGAAAUCAUUCUAGUUUAGUCAUACAUCCUAAAGACAUGUAUGUUAGGUCAAUUAUUGUCUGCAAACUGUCCUAGUUCAGGUGACUAUGGUUAUAUGCGUUAGUUUGCCCUGUGAUUGAACAGUGACUAAUAAUGCUAAAAUAAGCUCAAUUUCCUGUGACAUUGUGCUGGAAUAUUUACAAAUUAAUGAAUAAACCUUCUUCUGGUAAUUAAUUAGUUCAGUUUUAUUAUAUAUGUUUCAUAUUCCAAGUGAACAUGCUUUCACCUGCAAAUAAUAUAAACAAGUAGUAAACUGGAAAAUGCUUCCAUAUGUAACUUAUAAAAUCAAAUAGACUGAACUACAGUUAAUGAUAUAAAUCUGAGUAUCUGCAAAUGAAAAUUGGAUUUAACCUCAUCAGAAAAGGUGUUUACACAGUGUGUAUCCUUAUACACACAUGACGACACAUAUUUUAGCUUUCUUUUUAAUAGAUCAGAAUUAUCCAUCAUUUCUGAGAGCUAUAAUUUACCACGGAUAUUCAAAAUGCUUUAGUCAUAGAAAUUCUUAAUACUCUUUGAGCUAAUUUAGUCAGUUGUAGCAAUAAUCUCUGGGAUCUAUAAUCUGUCUCUUGAAAUCUAUGAUCAAAGUCAGCUAUGAUCUUGAUAAAAGAUGUCUAUAACCCUCUGAGCUAUAAUAUAUUCAGAGAUGUCCGUAAUCCCCCUGAACUAUAUUGAAUCAAAGAAGCCCUUAAACAGAUUAAAUAUAAUUUAGUCAAUUACAAUCCUGUUUAUCAUUUAUCUAGGCAGUGACGUUGUAAUCAUUUUAUUUAGUCAGUUAUGUCCUGAAUCCUGGUAAAAUAAAAUCCAUCAAUGAUAUUCAUAAUCCCAAUGAUCUUUAAUAUGGUCAGAGAUGGUCAUAACCUACUCAGAGACAUUUUAUU